UACGGGGGGGGGCAAGCGUUGUUCGGAAUUACUGGGCGUAAAGGGCUCGUAGGCGGCCAACUAAGUCAGACGUGAAAUCCCUCGGCUUAACCGGGGAACUGCGUCUGAUACUGGAUGGCUUGAAUCCGGGAGAGGGAUGCAGAAUUCCAGGUGUAGCGGUGAAAUGCGUAGAUAUCUGGAGGAAUACCGGUGGCGAAGGCGGCAUCCUGGACCGGCAUUGACGCUGAGGAGCGAAAGCCAGGGGAGCAAAGCGGG
rnacentral:rRNA from 1 species